GGGCCUCCCGUGCUUUCCCCUGGCUGACACAUCGCCUCUCUUCUCUGUUUGAUGCAGGGCUCCUCUGUGUCCCCACAGACCCUGUGCAGGGGCUGGUGGCUGCUUCUGGGGGCUCCCCAGGGCCCAGUUCCAUUCCAGCGGGGGCCGUGGCAGCUACUGCAGAGGGACUGUCCCAUCACCCUGCCAGCACGGAACAACUCACAGCCUGCUGUCUUGUAUGGCUUUUUAUUCCUAUGUGAUUAUACAUCCCACUUCAUAUAGGGAUUGAAGCCGUGCAAUACGCCGGGGUCCUACGGCGGAGAGCAGCUCCUGUGCCGUGGGAGCCAGACUCGAAGGAGCCUCCAGAGCUGUCCCCUGGGGUGCUGGAGGAAGACUGCUGGCCUCAGCCUGGACUCUGUCCUGCUUCCCAGGCUACCCAGCCCUCUUGGGCUGCAGUAUCGCAGGAGAUGGGUGACAACCUCUGGGUGCAGGCACUGCUGGCAGGACAGGGGAGGAGGAAGAGGAAGAAGAGGAAAAAUGAGCUGAGGAAUGGCCACCAGAGAAGGGCUGCCCCAAGCACAACUCUCUUCAAAGUUUCUCAAGAGGCUUCAGCUACUCUUUCAAGGUUUGCGUUAAAUCUGUCACAUUAGCGAAAAUAGUGAAAAUUGUGGCUUGUGGAGGAGAUGAAAGGCAGCCCCUUCCAAUGCCUCCAUAAAGGAAGGGCCCCAUUAACACCUAGUGAAAUAUUAGCCAUUAAUCAGGCUCUGUGCAAAAUAAAACCAUCCACAUUUAUCAUUAUUGGAUCCUUAAUGAAGUGAUAAUGGAAAUGCUGGGGAGCUGUGAUAUUAAUGUCUUCUAAGAGGCAAGAGCAGAGCCAAGGGCGGCAGCCAAGAUUUUUAAUUUACUGGCAAAAGCUCGUGCUGUUAAUAACGCAGUUACUUCUCCUGGCCAUUAGCACUGUUUGGCUAUGAGCUGCCAGCUUAGGGGAGCAAAUCGACCCUGAACGUACCUGGGCUUUGCUCACUCACUCCCCAGCCAGCAUCUGGGCAUGUUUUCCCAGUGACUGUCCUAGUGUCCCCUGCCCAUGUACAGGGACAUGGCCCGGGAGGUGUUGGCCAUCUCCACCCAGAUCUCUCCUGGAGGCUGGCUGGUAUAGAAAGUUUUGCUUUUCUGAUAGAAAAGGAAGGGACUGGGAGCAUCAAACCCAAGUGGCUCUUGUUGUCCUCAUUCUCUGUGUGACUUGUUGCCUUAGGCAGAAGCACCCUGGAGCCAGGAUGGCAUGGAGCUGCUCCCAGCACAGCCUGCACACUGGGAUCAUGGGUUGUGACCAUGGCUGCACUCUGGGUUUCUUCACUUGCCCGGGUUCACUCCCAUGAUGCCAAUAUCCCAUCCAGGACAGCGUCGGCAAGCUGCAAAGCCCUGCUCAGCUGUGGUGACUCACUCAAGCUCCCAAUGGGAAAGUCAUCGUUCCUGGCAGGCCCUGACAGCCCAGAGGCAAAUCAUUACUAGGCAGGCAGUUGGAAAACAACACCACGAAAGCUCAUAGCGUACAUGCUGCUGGCAUGGAGGCUCUCCCAUCAGGGAUCAGCAGGGAAGAUAUUCCUGUGGAGGGAAGGAGGCUGGAGG